CCGAAUAGUUCAUUGCGAUGCAAUAUGGGCCGUCCGUGCGCGAUUCAAUCUGGACCAUCCAUGUGCAUUCAAUUUGGGCCGUCCGUGCAUGUUUUUGAUCUGGGCCGUUCGUGCGCGUGAGAACGGAUCUCAGCUGUUCAAUCACGCGCACGCAGAUCGCCCACGUGGCCUCCCACGUCAGCAUCUCUGCCAGGCGGCGCGGCCUGGUUGGCCGGGGCUACUAACCGGACAGCUGACGUGGUGUAAUUUUUUUAAAUUGCGUUUUGACCCCCUAGUUUUUAAUUUUUCUUUC
rnacentral:lncRNA from 1 species